AGCAUUUGCUGUACCGCGUUGACGGAGCGAAGCGACGUCAAACCGAUAAAACAGCAGUGUAAAGUGAGCCGCAGGGCGCUUUGCGCGACAGCGCAAAGGCAGGCGGUUUCGCGUAGCGAAAGCGAAUGCUUUGGGGUGGGGUGACUGCGUACCUUUUGUAUAAUGGGUCAGCGACUUAUAUUCUGUAGCAAGGUUAACCGAAUAGGGGAGCCGGAGGGAAACCGAGUCUUAAUUGGGCGUUAAGUUGCAGGGUAUAGACCCGAAACCCGGUGAUCUAGCCAUGGGCAGGUUGAAGGUUGGGUAACACUAACUGGAGGACCGAACCGACUAAUGUUGAAAAAUUAGCGGAUGACCUGUGGCUGGGGGUGAAAGGCCAAUCAAACCGGGAGAUAGCUGGUUCUCCCCGAAAGCUAUUUAGGUAGCGCCUCGUGAAUUCAUCUCCGGGGGUAGAGCACUGUUUCGGCUAGGGGGCCAUCCCGGCUUACCAACCCGAUGCAAACUGCGAAUACCGGAGAAUGUUAUCACGGGAGACACACGGCGGGUGCUAACGUCCGUCGUGAAGAGGGAAACAACCCAGACCGCCAGCUAAGGUCCCAAAGUCAUGGUUAAGUGGGAAACGAUGUGGGAAGGCCCAGACAGCCAGGAUGUUGGCUUAGAAGCAGCCAUCAUUUAAAGAAAGCGUAAUAGCUCACUGGUCGAGUCGGCCUGCGCGGAAGAUGUAACGGGGCUAAACCAUGCACCGAAGCUGCGGCAGCGACACUGUGUGUUGUUGGGUAGGGGAGCGUUCUGUAAGCCUGUGAAGGUGUGUCGUGAGGCAUGCUGGAGGUAUCAGAAGUGCGAAUGCUGACAUAAGUAACGAUAAAGCGGGUGAAAAGCCCGCUCGCCGGAAGACCAAGGGUUCCUGUCCAACGUUAAUCGGGGCAGGGUGAGUCGACCCCUAAGGCGAGGCCGAAAGGCGUAGUCGAUGGGAAACGGGUUAAUAUUCCCGUACUUGGUGUUACUGCGAAGGGGGGACGGAGAAGGCUAUGUUGGCCGGGCGACGGUUGUCCCGGUUUAAGCGUGUAGGUGUGUGUUCCAGGUAAAUCCGGUUCACUUUAACACUGAGGCGUGACGACGAGGCACUACGGUGCUGAAGCAACAAAUGCCCUGCUUCCAGGAAAAGCCUCUAAGCAUCAGGUAACAUCAAAUCGUACCCCAAACCGACACAGGUGGUCAGGUAGAGAAUACCAAGGCGCUUGAGAGAACUCGGGUGAAGGAACUAGGCAAAAUGGUGCCGUAACUUCGGGAGAAGGCACGCUGACACGUAGGUGAAGUGAUUUACUCAUGGAGCUGAAGUCAGUCGAAGAUACCAGCUGGCUGCAACUGUUUAUUAAAAACACAGCACUGUGCAAACACGAAAGUGGACGUAUACGGUGUGACGCCUGCCCGGUGCCGGAAGGUUAAUUGAUGGGGUCAGCGCAAGCGAAGCUCCUGAUCGAAGCCCCGGUAAACGGCGGCCGUAACUAUAACGGUCCUAAGGUAGCGAAAUUCCUUGUCGGGUAAGUUCCGACCUGCACGAAUGGCGUAAUGAUGGCCAGGCUGUCUCCACCCGAGACUCAGUGAAAUUGAACUCGCUGUGAAGAUGCAGUGUACCCGCGGCAAGACGGAAAGACCCCGUGAACCUUUACUAUAGCUUGACACUGAACAUUGAGCCUUGAUGUGUAGGAUAGGUGGGAGGCUUUGAAGUGUGGACGCCAGUCUGCAUGGAGCCGACCUUGAAAUACCACCCUUUAAUGUUUGAUGUUCUAACGUGGACCCGUUACCCGGGUUGCGGACAGUGUCUGGUGGGUAGUUUGACUGGGGCGGUCUCCUCCUAAAGAGUAACGGAGGAGCACGAAGGUUGGCUAAUCCUGGUCGGACAUCAGGAGGUUAGUGCAAUGGCAUAAGCCAGCUUGACUGCGAGCGUGACGGCGCGAGCAGGUGCGAAAGCAGGUCAUAGUGAUCCGGUGGUUCUGAAUGGAAGGGCCAUCGCUCAACGGAUAAAAGGUACUCCGGGGAUAACAGGCUGAUACCGCCCAAGAGUUCAUAUCGACGGCGGUGUUUGGCACCUCGAUGUCGGCUCAUCACAUCCUGGGGCUGAAGUAGGUCCCAAGGGUAUGGCUGUUCGCCAUUUAAAGUGGUACGCGAGCUGGGUUUAGAACGUCGUGAGACAGUUCGGUCCCUAUCUGCCGUGGGCGCUGGAGAACUGAGGGGGGCUGCUCCUAGUACGAGAGGACCGGAGUGGACGCAUCACUGGUGUUCGGGUUGUCAUGCCAAUGGCACUGCCCGGUAGCUAAAUGCGGAAGAGAUAAGUGCUGAAAGCAUCUAAGCACGAAACUUGCCCCGAGAUGAGUUCUCCCUGAGACUUAGAGUCUCCUGAAGGAACGUUGAAGACGACGACGUUGAUAGGCCGGGUGUGUAAGCGCAGCGAUGCGUUGAGCUAACCGGUACUAAUGAACCGUGAGGCUUAACCUUACAACGCCGAAG
rnacentral:rRNA from 1 species